GGAGGCAUUGGCCGGCACCACCCUAAAAAACCAUGUUGCUGGGGUGUCAGAUGGGAAAAGGCUAACUAAAUUUAUACUAUUUGAGGAAUUGGCAAAGGGAAUAGAGGAGGGGAAUUCGUAUAGGAUGAAAAAAUUUGGGUGGAGCAAUUACGGGGACAUCAGAGUGAUGCUGACAAGGCAUCAGGCCGUGGCCUAUAUCGCUGCUGCGGUCGAAGUCCCCGCCCACCUGGAGGCAGAGGCUCGGGACUUAAUAUGUCCCGAGUCAAUGCUCGUCCCUCUGCCAGAGUUGGCAGAGGUCGAGGAGAUUACGCUGUUGACUGUUCAGGGCUGGGUCAAAGAACUAGGUGCGUUCCACCCGCAAACAACACCCGGUGGCCCGCCAGUGCCUCGAAGGACCGUGGUGCUGAAAGAUGUAAGGAAUUGAUCAUACACCUCCACUCAACAGGGCACACUUCAGUGGAAGUUAUCCAUGGAGACAAGGAGGUCCAGGUCAUGGGG